rnacentral:guide_RNA from 1 species
AAACCUAAAUCAAGAACAUAGAACAGAGAGAUUAGUGAGUAAAUUAUA